CUCCAAAGCCUACUUCCAAAACAACCGGUUCUAAACCAAACCAACCACCAACCAACACUCAAGAUGUCUCCCUGCUCCUGCAACUGCUGCUCCGGUGACUGCAACUCCUGCGAUUGCGGCACCUGCAGCGUAAGUUCUC
rnacentral:sRNA from 1 species